rnacentral:tRNA from 1 species
GCCAGUCGACCGGACUUCGAGACCAUCGGGAGCCGUCUUGACGCCCGCUCUCCUAAAGCGGGUGUCGCAGGUUCGAAUCCUGCCGGGGGCA